AAGCCGGGUUACGGUGCCCAACUGCGCGCUAACCUAGAACCCACAAAGGGUGUUGGUCGAUUAAGACAGCAGGACGGUGGUCAUGGAAGUCGAAAUCCGCUAAGGAGUGGUUAACAACUCACCUGCCGAAUCAACUAGCCCCNNNNNNGGAUGGCGCUGAAGCGCGCGACCCACACCCGGCCAUCUGGGCGAGCGCCAUGCCCCGAUG
rnacentral:ncRNA from 1 species